rnacentral:snRNA from 1 species
GUGCUCACUUUAGCAGUACAUAUACUAAAACUGAGACAUGACAGAAGAUUAGCAUGGCCUUUGUGCAAGGAUGACAUGCAAAUUCACGAAGUAUUCCAUAUUUUU